UACGUAGGGGGCAAGCGUUGUCCGGAAUCAUUGGGCGUAAAGGGCGCGUAGGCGGCCCGGUAAGUCCGCUGUAAAAGUCAAAGGCUUAACCUUUGAAUGCCGGUGGAUACUGUCGGGCUAGAGUCCGGAAGAGGCGAGUGGAAUUCCUGGUGUAGCGGUGGAAUGCGCAGAUAUCAGGAGGAACACCAAUAGCGAAGGCAGCUCGCUGGGACGGUACUGACGCUGAGGCGCGAAAGCGUGGGGAGCAAACGGG
rnacentral:rRNA from 1 species